ACUAGAUAUUCUGGCAGGCCAAGGAUGGAGACUCUUCUGAAAGUGCUUUCAGGCACCUUGUUGUGGCAGUUGACCUGGGUGAGAAGCCAACAACCAGUGCAGAGUCCUCAAGCCAUGAUCCUCCGAGAAGGGGAAGAUGCUGUCGUCAACUGCAGUUCCUCCAAGGCUUUAUAUUCUGUACACUGGUACAGGCAGAAGCAUGGUGAAGCACCCAUCUUCCUGAUGAUAUUACUGAAGGGUGGAGAACAGAAGGGUCAUGACAAAAUAUCUGCUUCAUUUAAUGAAAAAAAGCAGCAAAGCUCCCUGUACCUUAUGGCCUCCCAGCUCAGUUACUCAGGAACCUACUUCUGUGGUGCAGAGACACAGUGAUACCCAGGCCUCCAAGACCUGUACUCAAACCUAAAGCUGAGCCACAGGUGCUCCCCUAGCACAGAUGCUCACCACAGGAGUAUGGGAAACUUACCAGAAGGUUCAUCCAUGAUAAAAGAGAAACCUGAAGGAAAUUCAUUUGCUUCAACAUAUAACACAAAAAGCAAGCCAUGGCCUUAAGACCAUAU